GUUUUGGCUCCUCCUCUUCCCUUUCGUGGUAUGGUUGAAUUGGAGAGAUGUUGAGCUUGUCUGAGGGAUGAAUAAACCUGAGUUCAACAAGAUACGCCGGUGUCCAGUGUCUAUUAUGCACCAGAACACAACACAGUGUAGCCGGGCUUGGCAGAACGGACCGGUUACAUUGGUGCUGUGACCCGUAUUUCUCCGCUUCAGAUCAUUGCCAGUGUGAUCGCCGGUGUUGCCGUAACAAGUACUAAAACACAUCAGAGAUAUUAACGUAACAAGUAAAGAAACUGUAAAUAUUGAGUGCUGUUAGUAUUUUUAUUGUUUUUUUUUUUUAUGUGUGUAAUUAUCCGUUUACCUACUUAUUAGUUUUAGUUAAGAGGUAACAAAACGAAUGAAGGUGAUUGAUGGUAAGGGUACUGUUUGUCCUUGAUGGGGGUGCAGUAAGUUUUGGACGGGGUAGGUUUUUGGGAGCGGUAGAUUCAACUCCAGUUAGCUGGGCUAGUACAAUAGGCCAGCCUGUGUUCUCUUCCACUCAGCUGUACACUGAUGUACCGUCUCCUAGGCAGUACACACCUAGACCAGAAGUGAGUUCACCAGAUGUAGGGAACCUUAUAACUCAGCCCACCAGAUUGGAGAGAGUAUUGCAAACCAAAUGCAGAAACUUCUUAUUUAACAACCAACAACAAAAAAAAUCUGCUCUUCACACAGCUUCGUCUUCCACCUCCUUCGUCUUCUGCUCAAGAGUCUUCUCCACCUUCACGUUCUCCAGCGUGUCCGCCAGGUCUGAGAAAUAUCCACUCCCGUUCACAUACCAUUUGGUGAGGGAGUUGGGUCUGGGAGGGGCGAAGCCGUCAAUGUGCGGUUUGGAGUUGAUCCUCUUUGCUUCCACUGAAACUUGCAGUUCAGAGUUGAUCGUCAUCUCUUCCACCAGAAUUUGUAGCUUGGGGUUGAUCCUGUCCUCUCCCACCAGAUCUUGUGGCUCAGAGCUCUUAUCCUCCUUAAGCAGGACUUUCAGCUCAGGGUCAAAAAGCAUCACGUACAACACCUUAUGAUUUCUGGACAUGUAGAGCAGAAACGAGUCUUUGACUCAAGCCAGCAUUUCAACCAAUGACAUGAGUGAUGGUCAGGAUGUUUGAUCACAGAUGUGUGUGAACAUUGUACCUUAUAAGAUUGCUUUUUCUGUCUCGCCUGACCUUUUGUAUGUUUAGGAUUUAGGCGAAAUUAAGGAGGGGUGAAUGUAACAGAUAUAGGAAAUAAAAUGUGUUUUUUAUUUGUGUUUUUUUUAUGGCAUGUGUUCCCGCUGUAAAAUGUAUUAAUUUGACCAAAAUCCUUCACGGUUAUUUAAUGGUUUGCUAUUCUUGGUUUUGGGAGUACUUUAUUUGUGUUCUAGUGCUCUUUGCUAAUUGGUAGCAGAUGUAUCGUGUCAUUUCCGAUUUCUCGUCAGUCGGUGUUGAGUUUGACUGAGAGAGGUAUGUACUUAAGCCAGCGUGAUUAUAAAGUUUGAAUUUCAAGCUUUAAAAGUCGUUUUCAAGUGCAUAACCCUGUUUAAUCAUUUAUAGUAUUAGGAUAGACAGACUGUGUCGUUUCUGCUGUGUAUUUUACUUGUACAAUGAGUUUGUGAAAGAUGAGAAAAUUAGCACGUUUUUCUUGUGCGCGCUAGCUAUUGCCAUUUUAUCUACACGCUUAUGUUAUUCUCUCAUAUUAGGUUUAUGAAGUUAAAUCCUGUAUGAUGACGUUUUGCUCUCUUUGAACUCUAAAUAGGUAUGUGCAUGUGUUUUGUACUCCCAUUGCCAUGUUCAGUAAAUGCAUUAUUUUUGCACCAAUAUAAUCAUCAUUAUUUGUAUUAAGUUAAAAAGCUAAUUGUUAUUAAUAAUAUAAUUGUACGUCAUAGAACACAAUGUAAUUACGUUUAUUUGUACCUUUUUGUAUUUCAUUAACAUGUUUUGAGUUAGUCUCAUGUUGAUAGUGAGUCGGCGUUGAGUUUGACUGAGAGAGGUUUGUUGAAGAUAAAUCCUGUAUGAUGACGUUUUGCUCUCUCUGAACUCUAAAUAGAUGUUGAGCUUGUCUGAGGGAUGAAUAAACCUGAGUUCAACAAGAUACGCCGGUGUCUAUUGUGCACCAGAACACAACGCAGUGUAGCCGGGCUUGGCAGAAUGGACUGGUUACACUGGCAAAUAUAGUCUUCCAUGUAUAGAGACUUUUGGACCACCAUGUAGAUUGAAAAAUAGAUUUGGUAAGGUGUGCUUUUAUAGGAAAAUAUUCAGUCAUGGGUGUGGUGUGAUGUGUCCAAAUGUGACCAUCCUGUGUUUCAUUCCUCUUAUACAACAACGGUUUUUAUUAUUAUGGUACAAGCUGCAGUAUAUAGUUAAAUUUAAUGACCUUGAACAAACAGCAAAAUCACCGGUGUUGAAUUCCCACUCUUCAGUGUUUAGACUCAUGUAAACACUCUGGGUGUUAAUUCAACACUAGGGAUUUUACUGUGUAUGCAAAACAAGUUGGCAAUAAGACAAAAAAAUUAAACUUCGAAGACCUCUGAUGACUUUCCAAUAUCAGAAAACUUAAAGUUCCAGCUUUACUUCUGACUGUUACAAAGCACUGACACUGCAGACUCCUCCCAUAAAUGCAAAUAAGC